rnacentral:rRNA from 2 species
UACGUAGGUGGCAAGCGUUGUCCGGAAUUACUGGGCGUAAAGGGUGCGUAGGCGGUCCUUUAAGUGGGAUGUGAAAUCCCUGGGCUUAACCCAGGAACUGCAUUCCAAACUGGAGGACUAGAGUGCAGGAGAGGAAAGCGGUAUUCCCAGUGUAGCGGUGAAAUGCGUAGAGAUUGGGAGGAACACCAGUAGCGAAGGCGGCUUUCUGGAAUGUAACUGACGCUGAGGCACGAAAGCGUGGGGAGCAAACAGG